GGGCGUUUAGUUUAGUGGUAAAACACCCCAUUCGCAGGAUCACAAAAUUGGGGAGCUGGGGGUUCGAUUCCCCCAUCGUCCA
rnacentral:tRNA from 2 species